rnacentral:rRNA from 1 species
CCUACGGGAGGCAGCAGUGAGGAAUAUUGGUCAAUGGCCGGAAGGCUGAACCAGCCAUGCCGCGUGAAGGUCAGUGCCCUAUGGGCGUUAAACUUCUUUUGUGCGGGAGCAAUAAUGGUCACGUGUGGCCAGACGAGAGUACCGUACGAAUAAGCAUCGGCUAACUCCGUGCCAGCAGCCGCGGUAAUACGGGGGAUGCAAGCGUUAUCCGGAUUUAUUGGGUUUAAAGGGUGCGUAGGCUGUGAGGUAAGUCAGCGGUGAAAUGCCCCCGCUCAACGGGGUGAAGUGCCAUUGAUACUGCCUGGCUGGAAUGCGGAUGCCGUGGGAGGAAUGUGUGGUGUAGCGGUGAAAUGCGUAGAUAUCAGGAGGAACACCGGCGGCGAAGGCGGCCUGCUGGACCGCGACUGACGUUGAGGCUCGAAAGCGUGGGGAGCGAACAGGAUUAGAUACCCUUGUAGUC